CCCAGUGUUCAGACUACCUGUUCAGGAAACUACAAAGGUGUACAGUAGUCUGCACAUUGGUUAGAUUGGGUUUGGA
rnacentral:pre_miRNA from 1 species